rnacentral:rRNA from 1 species
UAAUACGGAGGGUGCGAGCGUUGUCCGGAAUCACUGGGCGUAAAGGGCGCGUAGGCGGCACGGUAAGCGUGCGGUGAAAGCCCGGGGCUCAACCCCGGGUCGGCCGUGCGGACUGCCGAGCUGGAGCACUGUAGAGGCAGGUGGAAUUCCGGGUGUAGCGGUGGAAUGCGUAGAGAUCCGGAAGAACACCAGUGGCGAAGGCGGCCUGCUGGGCAGUGGCUGACGCUGAGGCGCGACAGCGUGGGGAGCAAACAGGAUUAGAUACCCUGGUAGUCCACGCCGUAAACGAUGGGCACUAGGUGCCUGGGGGAGCGACCCCCUGGGUGCCGGCGCUAACGCAUUAAGUGCCCCGCCUGGGGAGUACGGCCGCAAGGCUG